rnacentral:rRNA from 1 species
CCUACGGGAGGCUGCAGUGAGGAAUAUUGGUCAAUGGGCGCGAGCCUGAACCAGCCAAGUCGCGUGAGGGAAGACGGUCCUAUGGAUCGUAAACCUCUUUUGUCAGGGAGCAAACGACGCCACGCGUGCCGUUCCGAGAGUACCCGACGAACAAGCAUCGGCUAACUCCGUGCCAGCAGCCGCGGUAAUACGGAGGAUGCGAGCGUUAUCCGGAUUUAUUGGGUUUAAAGGGUGCGCAGGCGGAAUGUUAAGUCAGCGGUAAAAGUGCGCGGCUCAACCUCGUCGAGCCGUUGAAACUGGUUGGCUGGAGUGGGUGAGAAGUAGGCGGAAUGCGUGGUGUAGCGGUGAAAUGCAUAGAUAUCGCGCAGAACUCCGAUUGCGAAGGCAGCAUACCGGCGCUAAACUGACGCUGAGGCACGAAAGCGUGGGUAUCGAACAGGAUUAGAUACCCCGGUAGUC